AUUGAACGCUGGCGGCAUGCCUUACACAUGCAAGUCGAACGGCAGCAUGGAAGAGCUUGCUCUUCUGAUGGCGAGUGGCGAACGGGUGAGUAAAGCAUCGGAACGUACCGUGUAGUAGGGGAUAACGUAGCGAAAGUUACGCUAAUACCGCAUACGCACUGAGGUGGAAAGCAGGGGAUCGCAAGCCCUUGCGCUAUACGAGCUGCCGAUGUCAGAUUAGCUAGUUGGUAGGGUAAAGGCCUACCAAGGCGACGAUCUGUAGCGGGUCUGAGAGGAUGAUCCGCCACACUGGGACUGAGACACGGCCCAGACUCCUACGGGAGGCAGCAGUGGGGAAUUUUGGACAAUGGGGGAAACCCUGAUCCAGCCAUGCCGCGUGAGUGAAGAAGGCCUUCGGGUUGUAAAGCUCUUUCGGCUGGGAAGAAAUCGCACAGGCUAAUACUCUGUGUGGAUGACGGUACCAGCACAAGAAGCACCGGCUAACUACGUGCCAGCCGCCGCAGUAA
rnacentral:rRNA from 1 species